rnacentral:tRNA from 1 species
GCGGGCAUCGUAUAAUGGCUAUUACCUCAGCCUUCCAAGCUGAUGAUGCGGGUUCGAUUCCCGCUGCCCGCUCCAGAU